CCUACGGGGGGCAGCAGUGGGGAAUAUUGGACAAUGGGGGCAACCCUGAUCCAGCCAUUCCGCGUGUGUGAAGAAGGCCCUCGGGUUGUAAAGCACUUUCAGUGAGGAAGAACGCCUGGUGGUUAAUACCCAUCAGGAAAGACAUCACUCACAGAAGAAGCACCGGCUAACUCCGUGCCAGCAGCCGCGGUAAUACGGAGGGUGCGAGCGUUAAUCGGAAUUACUGGGCGUAAAGCGCGCGUAGGUGGCUUGAUAAGCCGGUUGUGAAAGCCCCGGGCUCAACCUGGGAACGGCAUCCGGAACUGUCAAGCUAGAGUGCAGGAGAGGAAGGUAGAAUUCCCGGUGUAGCGGUGAAAUGCGUAGAGAUCGGGAGGAAUACCAGUGGCGAAGGCGGCCUUCUGGACUGACACUGACACUGAGGUGCGAAAGCGUGGGUAGCAAACAGGAUUAGAUACCCUGGUAGUC
rnacentral:rRNA from 1 species